rnacentral:lncRNA from 1 species
UUGUAUUUGCGUUACCUAUAAAACAAGACAUGCACGCACAAGGAGAACACAUGAGAAGCUGGGACAGGAAGGAUAACGCAUCAUGAAGCGUUCUACUUCUCCUCCUUCGUCCUUGGUACGCAGCCUUGUGAUCCUUGCUCUGAUAUGCUGUUCCCUGUCAUGCUCGGCGUCGGCAAGAGGUAACUAAUUACUACUCCCUCUGUUCGAAAAAGGUUGUCCCUUAAAUGGAUGUAUUUAGCACCAAAUUAGUGAUAGAUACAUCCAUUUGACAGACAAGCUUGGGACAAGCUUUUCUGGAUGGAGGGAGUACUUCCUCUAUAAAGAAAUAUAAAAAUGUUUAGAUCUCUACUCAAUCCCUCUGUAAAGAGGGAGUACUACUAGCUAGUAAUCCCACGUCGGCAUCAUGUGUGUAUUGUACAUGCAGUACGUAUUUAUGUUUGGGGUGAGAAGGAUUGAUGGUUCAUGCUAAUGCAUAUGCACGCAGUUGCUCUUGACGGAAGCCAUGAGCCAACGAGUCCUCCGCCGCCCGUGCCAGGUCGCCAGGUCUCUCCGUCACCUCCAACUCCAGUUCCAAGGCCUCCGCUCCAUCCUCCGCCGCCACCGCCACCCAAGCCGGAGAUGUCAGCACUGGCGCCGCACCGCAAGACCCUGCAGCAAGCUGUUAGGAAGGCCAUUUAAUUAUGCACGAAACAGUGCCGCUUAUAUAUUCUUUUCAUCUAUGUAUGAUCCAUCAUGGUGCUAAAUAAUUGAGACGAUAAAUAAUGAUAUUAGCGUACCUAUGCUUAUUCUUAACUCUUUUCUUUUU